GAGGCGGCGUCCAGGGGAGGUGAGGCAGUGCGAGAACGGAGUUCGGGGUGGGGACUGUGUGACGAGAAGACGAACGCACGUGGGUAUGCGGCCGGCUUCUGCUCCUACUCCUACUCCAGGCUGACUUCUUUCUAACUGUCAUCUUCAAAUGAGAAGCAUUGUUUAAAAAGAACUGGGAAGAAAAUCUACUUGGAUUCCAGUCCUGGCUCUGAAUCUGUGUACUGUGUCCUUCGAGGGGAAGGGGGAGAGACGUCCAUGUGAGAGAGAAUCAUCGAUCAUCGAUUGGUUGCUGCUUAUACGCACCAGACCUGGGACCGAACGCACAACCCAGGCUUGGGCCCCAACCAGAAUCGAACCAGCGACCUUUCGCUUCACGGGAAGUGAUGCGCAAUCCACUGAGCCACACAGGUCAGGGCCGGUUCCAAAGCUUCUUGACGGACCUGUUAGGUUCACCUUCUGUCUUCAACCACCUGUGCAACACCCCCCCCCCCAACUUCUCUAUCACUGUCAUUUGUCCAGUUACUUGGGCUGAAACCCUUGGGGAAGACUUGUUACUCUUUUUCUCCAUUUAUAUCUAUUCAGCCAUUGGGUUUCAUUGAUUUUUUUUUAUUUAAAAGGCCUCCUCUGCAAUGAUAAGCAGUUGGACCUGCUUUAAAAUAUUUAAGCAGAAAUGGAGAGAAAGGAUAAGUAGCCAUGUAAAAUCUUUGAAUCUGGGUAGUGGUAUAUGGGAGUUCAUUAUAGUAUUCUCUUUAUUUUUGUGGAUGUUUGAAAUGGGAAAGAUUUGGGGGGGGGAGGCUUUUUAAAUGGAUGCCUAGCCAUCAUUAGUUCUGUCAUUCCCUUGCUGUCUCCUUAAUCUGAGUCCUUCAGGCUGACCCUGGGCCCCUUUCUAACCUUGUGUCACCUUCCCCAAUGUUAUUUUUAUCAUGCUGCUUCCUCGCUCAGAAACCGCUAAUACUCCCCGUAGGUCUCACAGCAGCCCCAGAUUGCACUGCGAGAUUUUCGGGUGCACCCAUGAGUUGGGGCUAGACAUCUGAUUUCCCAGACAUCUGAUUUCAUACUAGUCUCCCCACAAGUCUCUUCUGGGCUCUACAAAUUUCUUUCAUUUAGAAAGCUCUUUUCCCCCUCCUUUGCCCAGUCAAAUCUGAGCUGGUCCCAAGCUUUACCUUACCCAUAAAAGCUCCCAAUUUCUCCAAUCUUUACUAAAUCUGUUUCUCUAAACUCGUAAAGCAUGUCUAUCAAGGACCACCCAAUUCAAUAAUCAUGUGUGGAGUUGUUUGUCGUUGAACAUGUUAUUUUUGGGUCACCCUCAAGCAGAUUACAAAGUUCUCAAAUAUAAAGUAGACCAGGUUUUAUACUCAGGUUAUGAUCCCUCCA